GACGAACGCUGGCGGCGUGCCUAAUACAUGCAAGUUGAGCGCUGAAGGUUGGUACUUGUACCAACUGGAUGAGCAGCGAACGGGUGAGUAACGCGUGGGGAAUCUGCCUUUGAGCGGGGGACAACAUUUGGAAACGAAUGCUAAUACCGCAUAAAAACUUUAAACACAAGUUUUAAGUUUGAAAGAUGCAAUUACAUCACUCAAAGAUGAUCCCGCGUUGUAUUAGCUAGUUGGUGAGGUAAAGGCUCACCAAGGCGAUGAUACAUAGCCGACCUGAGAGGGUGAUCGGCCACAUUGGGACUGAGACACGGCCCAAACUCCUACGGGAGGCAGCAGUAGGGAAUCUUCGGCAAUGGACGAAAGUCUGACCGAGCAACGCCGCGUGAGUGAAGAAGGGUGUCGGAUCGUAAAACUCUGUUGGUAGAGAAGAACGUUGGUGAGAGUGGAAAGCUCAUCAAGUGACGGUAACUACCCAGAAAGGGACGGCUAACUACGUG
rnacentral:rRNA from 1 species